rnacentral:rRNA from 1 species
GAUGAACGCUGGCGGCGUGCUUAAUACAUGCAAGUCGAACGGACAGGCCCUGCUUUUGCGGGGUUCUCGUGUGGCGAACGCGUGUGUAUCACGCGUGUAACCCGCCCCUGACUUUGGGAUAACUCCAGGAAACUCGGGCUAAUAUCGGAUAGGAUCUCCUGCUCCAUGGUGGGGGUUGGUAAGUUUCGGCUGUUGGGGCUCGACUCGCUGCUUAUCGGCUUGUUAGUGGGGUUGUUGCGUACCAAGCUUGUGACGGGUAGGCGGCCUGGGAGGGGGACCGGCCACAUUAGGACUGCGAGACGGCGCAGACGCCAACGGGAGGCAGCAGUGGGGAAUAUUACAGAAUGGGGGGAAGCCUGAUGCAGCAGCGCCGCGUGCGGGAUGACGGCCUUCGGGUGGUAAACCGAUUUCGCAGGUGACGAAGCGUGAGUGACGGUAAUGGGUAAAGAAGCACCGGCUAACUACGUG